UACAGAGGUCCCAAGCGUUACUGAGAAUCACUGGGUUUAAAGGGUGCGUAGGUGGUCCGUUAAGUCAGUUGUGAAAUCCCCGGGCUCAACCCGGGAAAUGCUUCUGAUACUGGCGGACUUGAGGCCAGUAGGGGUCACUAGAACUGACGGUGGAGCGGUGAAAUGCGUAGAUAUCGUCAGGAAUGCCGGUGGUGAAGACGGGUGACUGGGCUGGUUCUGACACCUGAGGCACGAAAGCGUGGGGAGCGAACGGG
rnacentral:rRNA from 1 species